GAUCCUGGCUCAGGAUGAACGCUAGCUACAGGCUUAACACAUGCAAGUCGAGGGGCAGCGGGGAGUAGCAAUACUCCGCCGGCGACCGGCGCACGGGUGCGUAACGCGUAUGCAACCUACCUUUAACAGGGGCAUAACACUGAGAAAUUGGUACUAAUUCCCCAUAACAUUCGAGAAGGCAUCUUCUUGGGUUAAAAACUCCGGUGGUUAAAGAUGGGCAUGCGUUGUAUUAGCCAGUUGGUGAGGUAACGG
rnacentral:rRNA from 1 species